rnacentral:rRNA from 1 species
AUGAACGCUGGCGGCGUGCCUAAUACAUGCAAGUCGAGCGAACGGACGAGAAGCUUGCUUCUCUGAUGUUAGCGGCGGCCGGGUGAGUAACACGUGGAUAACCUACCUAUAAGACUGGGAUAACUUCGGGAAACCGGAGCUAAUACCGGAUGAUAUUUUGAACCGCAUGGUUCAAAAGUGAAAGACGGUCUUGCUGUCACUUAUAGAUGGAUCCGCGCUGCAUUAGCUAGUUGGUAAGGUAACGGCUUACCAAGGCAACGAUGCAUAGCCGACCUGAGAGGGUGAUCGGCCACACUGGAACUGAGACACGGUCCAGACUCCUACGGGAGGCAGCAGUAGGGAAUCUUCCGCAAUGGGCGAAAGCCUGACGGAGCAACGCCGCGUGAGUGAUGAAGGUCUUCGGAUCGUAAAACUCUGUUAUUAGGGAAGAACAUAUGUGUAAGUAACUGUGCACAUCUUGACGUUACCUAAUCAGAAAGCCACGGCUAACUACGUG